CACACAAUCACACACACAUCACAAGACACAACAUGGAUCAUGGGAACAGGUGCAGUUGGGAUUGGAAAAACCUCCUCAAGUCCCCCCAGACAGGGUCAACAUCAUGCCAUCGGAAUGGUCCCAUCACAGAGGCCUUGGACUGUGGUCAUCAGUUUCUGUUCCACAGACUCCUUGGCGAAGGUCAGCCGGGCCUUGCAUGCCUCAGUGGUGGAAAGAAGGCAGAGAGGUUUGGCUUUGGAUGGAUCCCGGUCGCCAGGGUGGCGCGCCUGGGACAAAUCGAGAAAUCAAGGCCGGGGCGGAUGAAAGCGGAUCCGUUAUGGAGUCGGGAAUGAAGACUGGGGAAUCGAAGCCUCCAUGAGGAGGUGGUGGUCUAGCUGAAGGCUGACCCAGGGCUAGCUACAAAGAAAAACGUCCAUCGUGUCGAAGAAUCUUCCCAGAAAACUGGGUUCUCCUGCAUCCUAUUCCUGGCUCUGCCUUGACUCACUGAGGGUUCGACGUUAAUAAAUCACCGCUCAUA